rnacentral:rRNA from 1 species
AGGUUAAAACUCAAAUGAAUUGACGGGGGCCCGCACAAGCGGUGGAGCAUGUGGUUUAAUUCGAUGCAACGCGAAGAACCUUACCUGGUCUUGACAUCCACGGAAGUUUUCAGAGAUGAGAAUGUGCCUUCGGGAACCGUGAGACAGGUGCUGCAUGGCUGUCGUCAGCUCGUGUUGUGAAAUGUUGGGUUAAGUCCCGCAACGAGCGCAACCCUUAUCCUUUGUUGCCAGCGGUCCGGCCGGGAACUCAAAGGAGACUGCCAGUGAUAAACUGGAGGAAGGUGGGGAUGACGUCAAGUCAUCAUGGCCCUUACGACCAGGGCUACACACGUGCUACAAUGGCGCAUACAAAGAGAAGCGACCUCGCGAGAGCAAGCGGACCUCAUAAAGUGCGUCGUAGUCCGGAU